rnacentral:rRNA from 1 species
GAUGAACGCUGGCGGCGUGCCUAAUACAUGCAAGUCGAGCGAACAGACGAGGUUCUUGUUGCUCUGACGUUAGCGGCGGAUGGGGGAGUAACACGUGGAUAACCUACCUAUAAGACUGGGAUAACUUCGGGAAACCGGAGCUAAUACCUGAUAAUAGAUUGAACCGCAUGGUUCAAUAGGUAAAGGCGGUUUUGCUGUCACUGAUAGAUGGAUCCGCGCCGCAUUAGCUAGUUGGUAAGGUAACGGCUUACCAAGGCAACGAUGCGUAGCCGACCUGAGAGGGUGAUCGGCCACACUGGAACUGAGACACGGUCCAGACUCCUACGGGAGGCAGCAGUAGGGAAUCUUCCGCAAUGGGCGAAAGCCUGACGGAGCAACGCCGCGUGAGUGAUGAAGGUCUUCGGAUCGUAAAACUCUGUUAUUAGGGAAGAACAAAUGUGUAAGUAACUAUGCACGUCUUGACGGUACCUAAUCAGAAAGCCACGGCUAACUACGUG